rnacentral:rRNA from 1 species
AGGGUCCUACGGGGGGCAGCAGUAGGGAAUCUUCCACAAUGGGCGAAAGCCUGAUGGAGCAACGCCGCGUGGGUGAAGAAGGUCUUCGGAUCGUAAAACCCUGUUGUUAGAGAAGAAAGUGCGUGAGUGUAACUGUUCACGUUUCGACGGUAUCUAACCAGAAAGCCACGGCUAACUACGUGCCAGCAGCCGCGGUAAUACGUAGGUGGCAAGCGUUAUCCGGAUUUAUUGGGCGUAAAGGGAACGCAGGCGGGUUUUU